CCUACGGUAGAAAAUGAUGGUCCCCGAGUCGAAAGGCGAGGGGUGAAAAGGGAACACGGUGAGACCGUUCUUUGGUCGAGGCCGUGGCUGCCCCCGCAACUGUAAGCGGCGAGCAACAUCCGCAAAUGCCACUGGCCGGCAAGGCUGGGAAGGCAGGAUGAAGCCGAGACCCGCGAGCCAGGAGACCUGCCAUCAGCAUGAGUUGACC
rnacentral:ncRNA from 2 species